CUACGGGGGGCUGCAGUGGGGAAUAUUGGACAAUGGGCGAAAGCCUGAUCCAGCCAUGCCGCGUGUGUGAAGAAGGCCUUCGGGUUGUAAAGCACUUUCAGUGGGGAAGAAAGCCUUGGGGCUAAUACCCUCGAGGAAGGACAUCACCCACAGAAGAAGCACCGGCUAACUCCGUGCCAGCAGCCGCGGUAAUACGGAGGGUGCGAGCGUUAAUCGGAAUUACUGGGCGUAAAGCGCGCGUAGGCGGUCUGAUAAGCCGGUUGUGAAAGCCCCGGGCUCAACCUGGGAACGGCAUCCGGAACUGUCAGGCUAGAGUGCAGGAGAGGAAGGUAGAAUUCCCGGUGUAGCGGUGAAAUGCGUAGAGAUCGGGAGGAAUACCAGUGGCGAAGGCGGCCUUCUGGACUGACACUGACGCUGAGGUGCGAAAGCGUGGGUAGCAAACAGGAUUAGAUACCCCGGUAGUC
rnacentral:rRNA from 1 species